rnacentral:rRNA from 1 species
UGGGGAAUAUUGCACAAUGGGGGAAACCCUGAUGCAGCGACGCCGCGUGAAGGAUGAAGUAUUUCGGUAUGUAAACUUCUAUCAGCAGGGAAGAAAAUGACGGUACCUGACUAAGAAGCCCCGGCUAACUACGUGCCAGCAGCCGCGGUAAUACGUAGGGGGCAAGCGUUAUCCGGAUUUACUGGGUGUAAAGGGAGCGUAGACGGCUGUGCAAGUCUGGAGUGAAAACCCGGGGCUCAACCCCGGGAUUGCUUUGGAAACUGUGUAGCUGGAGUACCGGAGAGGCAAGUGGAAUUCCUAGUGUAGCGGUGAAAUGCGUAGAUAUUAGGAGGAACACCAGUGGCGAAGGCGGCUUGCUGGACGGUAACUGACGUUGAGGCUCGAAAGCGUGGGGAGCAAACA